rnacentral:misc_RNA from 1 species
UCCGGUUUGUCACCGGCAGUCUCCCUAGAGUUCCCGACCGAAUCGCUGGCAAAUAGGGACAAGGGUUGCGCUCGUUACGGGACUUAACCCAACAUUUCACAACACGAGCUGACGACAGCCAUGCAGCACCUGUCUCUCGGUUCCCGAAGGCACACCAACAUCUCUGUCGGCUUCCGAGGAUGUCAAGGGUAGGUAAGGUUCUUCGCGUUGCAUCGAAUUAAACCACAUGCUCCACCGCUUGUGCGGGCCCCCGUCAAUUCAUUUGAGUUUUAACCUUGCGGCCGUACUCCCCAGGCGGUCGACUUAUCGCGUUAACUGCGCCACAAAGCUCGCAAGGAGCCCAACGGCUAGUCGACAUCGUUUACGGCGUGGACUAC